GUAGGUGGCAAGCGUUGUCCGGAAUUAUUGGGCGUAAAGCGCGCGCAGGUGGUUCUUUAAGUCUGAUGUGAAAGCCCCCGGCUCAACCGGGGAGGGUCAUUGGAAACUGGGGAACUUGAGUGCAGGAGAGGAAAGUGGAAUUCCACGUGUAGCGGUGAAAUGCGUAGAUAUGUGGAGGAACACCAGUGGCGAAGGCGACUUUCUGGCCUGUAACUGACACCGAGGCGCGAAAGCGUGGGGAGCAAACAGGGAUUAGAUACCCUGGUAGUCCACGCCGUAAACGAUGAGUGCUAAGUGUUGGGGGGGUUUCCCGCCCCUCAGUGCUGCAGCUAACGCAUUAAGCACUCCGCCUGGGGAUACGGUCGCAAGACUG
rnacentral:rRNA from 1 species